AAAAAAGACCCCCUGUGUUACAAACAGAACAACCUGACAAUCCAAAAGCAACAUGGUAGGCUAAUAAUAUAAUUACAAUACUUUUAUAUCACUAACGAAUUAUGUCUUAAUUUACAAUCAGAUAACAUACAAUCAGCAGAGGAAGAACAUUGAUUGAAACAGUCGGUUAUCCUGGAAGGACUGUCCUUUUGCUGUGUUUGGAGCACCAACAUUCUUCAGCUUACUCUCUGCAAAUACUGCCUAAGUAUUGCAAGGCAUGUUGCCUCAAGCUUUAGUGAUUCUUCAUGACGUUAUACUAGCCUAAAAUCCCUCAUUUUGGGAUAUUUUCUUAACUCACAUUAGUUGGUGUCACCAGUGGCGUAGCGUGGGUUGUCAGCACCUGGGGCAAGGCAAGUAAUUUGCGCCCCCUAACCCGUGGAUUUUAGUAGGGGCAGAGAGCUGCGAGUGCGAGCGCGCCCCCCCCCCAGAUGUUGCGCCCGGUGCGGCCGGCCCCCCCUGCACCCCCACGCUAUGCCACUGGGUGUCACCAUGUAUAUAUUGUAUGUUAUCUGAUUGUAAUUACGGUACGACAUAAUUCAAUAGUGAUAUAAAAUUAUUGUAAUUAUAUUAUUAGCCUACCGUGUUGCUUAUAAUUGGAUAGCCAGUCAUAUAUAUGUAUGCCUUGAGAUAAUAUAAACACUAGACUGACAGUCAAUUUAGAAUCUAUUAUUAUAGUGGCCUAAUAUGCUCUGGGGACUCUUUAAACCUUGUUGUAAAGAAAAUAUAGUUGGGCUUCUUAGAGACAACAAGCAAGAUAGCCAAUUGGAUAAGUUCUUAGCAGUGCUAUUUUUCUAGAAAAAGAGGUGCCAGAACUCACCAUGAACGCCUCUGUUGUUCUCUUAUAAUGGCAAUGGUGCCGAAACUGAGUUCCAGUGAGUUCUGGCUGAAAAAAAGCCCUGGUUCUUAGAAGCGACAGAAUCCAAUGUGAUCUGUGCAUGUGUGCUCAUGUGUGUGGUGCUUAAGUAGAAGAGGAAAGAGAUUUAAGGAGUUAGGACUGUGCACUCUGUAAUGGCUGCCAAUUAUUUUCCAGACUCAAUUCAAAGUGCUGGUUUUGACCUAUAAAGCCUCAAAUGGCUCAGGACUGCAAUACCUCAAGGACUGCCUUGCCCCAUAUGUACCAACCUGGACCCUGUGAUCAUCAUCUAAAGUUAUUCUUCGUGGGCCCCCUCCACAAAAUGUCCAGAGGGUGGCAACAUGGCAACGGGACUUCUCUGCAGUGGCUCCUUGCUUGUGAAAUGCUCUCUCCAGGUAGGCUCAACUGGUGCCUUCAUUAUAUAUCUGUAGCUACGAGGUCUUCUCCCAGACCUUUGGCCUUUAAACUGGG